CAAAUCCGUCAUGCAACCCGAGAAUGUGACGCGGAGCGAACAAAAGUAGCGAAGCAUGCUUACCGGCUGUCGAGAAGAGCCGCUAUUGUGUUUAAUGUACCCGUACCGUAAACCGACACAGGUGGAUGAGGAGAGAAUCCUAAGGCCGGCGGGAGAAGCAUUGUUAAGGAACUCGGCAAAAUGACCCCGUAACUUCGGGAGAAGGGGUGCUCUUAGAAAUAAGAGCCGCAGAGAAUUGGCCCAAGCAACUGUUUAGCAAAAACACAGGUCUAUGCAAAACCGAAAGGUGAGGUAUAUGGGCUGACGCCUGCCCGGUGCUGGAAGGUUAAGAGGAGAGGUCAGAGCAAUCGAAGCCUUGAAUUUAAGCCCCAGUAAACGGCGGCCGUAACAAUAACGGUCCUAAGGUAGCGAAAUUCCUUGUCGGGUAAGUUCCGACCCGCACGAAAGGCGUAAUGAUUUGGGCACUGUCUCGACAAUGCACCCGGUGAAAUUGAAAUACCAGUGAAGAUGCUGGUUACCUGCGCCAGGACGGAAAGACCCCAUGGAGCUUUACUCUAGUUUGAUACUGGGAUUCGGUAUUGCAUGUACAGGAUAGGUGGGAGGCUGUGAAGCGAUGACGCCAGUUGUCGCAGAGCCGCUGUUGGGAUACCACCCCUGCAGUACUGGGUUUCUAACCUGCGGCCGUAAUCCGGCCGGGGGACAAUGUCUGACGGGGAGUUUGACUGGGGCGGUCGCCUCCGAAAGGGUAUCGGAGGCGCUCAAAGGUUCCCUCAGAAUGGUUGGAAACCAUUCGAAGAGUGCAAAGGCAGAAGGGAGCUUGACUGCGACACCGACGGGUGGAGCAGGUACGAAAGUAGGACUUAGUGAUCCGGUGGUAUGAAAGUGGGAUUGCCAUCGCUCAACGGAUAAAAGCUACCCUGGGAUAACAGGCUUAUCACUCCCAAGAGUUCACAUCGACGGAGUGGUUUGGCACCUCGAUGUCGGCUCAUCGCAUCCUGGGGCUGUAGUAGGUCCCAAGGGUUGGGCUGUUCGCCCAUUAAAGCGGUACGCGAGCUGGGUUCAGAACGUCGUGAGACAGUUCGGUCCCUAUCCGGCGUGGGCGUAGGAUAUCUGAGAGGAGCUGUCCUUAGUACGAGAGGACCGGGAUGGACUGACCUCUGGUGUACCGGUUGCACUGCCAAGUGCAUGGCCGGGUAGCCAAGUCGGGACGGGAUAAACGCUGAAGGCAUCUAAGCGUGAAGCCCCCCUCAAGAUGAGAUAUCCCAUAGAGUAAUCUAGUAAGACCCCUUGAAGACGACGAGGUAGAUAGGUGAAAGGUGGAAGCGUGGUGACAUGUGGAGCUGAUUCAUACUAAUAGGUCGAGGGCUUAAU
rnacentral:rRNA from 1 species